rnacentral:lncRNA from 1 species
CUUGGCUCCACACUUGUUAGGUGAAAUCUGCCAGGUGUGGAUCAUUUGACCUUUGCUAUAUAGGAAGCAUGAGGAGUUGGGGGGAAUUGCCUCCCCAGGGGAGUUUGAGGCUCAGGUUAUCUGGGGUGCUUUUCUACCAGAGUGAAAUAGACUCAGUGUUCCCCAGUAGGCUGCUUUUUCUUCAUGUUUUUUACCGUCUCUGUGAAAUAGUUUUAGAGACUCUAUGAGCUAGUUACGUUGGUGGUGCCUUCUCAGGACAGUAAAACCCUGGUGGUACUACUUCACUGUGAAGUAGUUAGGAGGUGACUCAAGUUCAGAAGCUGGCAGGUAAGUGUUCCUGGGUUCUACAGUUGUUUAAUGUCGAGGAGUUUGAGUACUUCCUUCACCUCGUCUGUUUUCAGCGAAAUUACUUGCAUGGAUUUGAAGCUUCCUUCCUGGCAGGAGAAGAAGAAAAAAAAAAAAACACCACAGAAGCUUAAGUGCAUACAGGCCUGCAUCUCGGUUGUGCAGAAACAUUCUGAAGAGACCGACCAACAUAAAGAGAACUAACCUUCCUCCUCACCUGUACAAAGCAAUAUCUCAGCAAUUGGGGGUAAGCCCACUUCUGUGCGAGGAAGACAAGAGAGUGCAUACACAGCCUGUGCCAACCUGUGGUCGUACCCUGUGGAACCUACACACACUCGUACCUACACUCACCAUACCGACGUGAGUGACCACGGAGAACAUAUGAGAAAACAGGACGGAAAAUCAAACUCGACACUUGAGGCAGGGGUAUGUGAGUGGCAAGAAAAAAAAAUUGGGGGAAAGGAAUUCUAUGAGAAACUUCCAACUCCAAAUUCAGGUGGGCGGAACCUGGUCCCCAGAGCGCUGGUCCCCAGACUUUUUCUGCUAGGAAGAUUAUUCAGAUGAGCACUCUACCAUUUCUUUACCUUUGAGGGUUCUGAAAUUGUCCCCUGCUUAAAGGAGUCAGCUCCAGCCUGUUUCGGAAAAUAGUUGCUUAGGGCUAAAAUCUGAGUUUCUGUUCUGUUACUUGAACAUCCAGAGGGACUCAUCCUCCUUCCUUCGUUGAGUUCAGUGCUGCCUAGUCUUAAGUUUUUCAGUACUCAAGUCGUGUAGCCCAGACUCUGCGAUUUUAGAGGGAUUGCGCUCCCCUUACAUAAUGUGGGAAUCCCAUUAGUCUGUCUCAAGGGUGAAUGGAGUAUGGCACUUAACAACCACAAUCUGCAAUGAUUUAUGUCUGUUACCAAGUUAUUUAAGGCCAUGCAAGUACCUUUUACUCUUUUCUCUUUCCUUUCAUUUCUUG